GUGCUCACUUUGGCAGCACAUAUACUAAAAUUGGAACGAUACAGAGAAGAUUAGCAUGGCCUCUGCACAAGGAUGACAGCAAGAAGAAGAAAAAGAAGAAGAAAGAG